CCUAGGGUGGCAGCAGUGGGGAAUAUUGGACAAUGGGCGAAGGCCUGAUCCAGCCAUGCCGCGUGUGUGAAGAAGGCCUUCGGGUUGUAAAGCACUUUCAGUGGGGAAGAAAGCCUUGGGGCUAAUACCCUCGAGGAAGGACAUCACCCACAGAAGAAGCACCGGCUAACUCCGUGCCAGCAGCCGCGGUAAUACGGAGGGUGCGAGCGUUAAUCGGAAUUACUGGGCGUAAAGCGCGCGUAGGCGGUCUGAUAAGCCGGUUGUGAAAGCCCCGGGCUCAACCUGGGAACGGCAUCCGGAACUGUCAGGCUAGAGUGCAGGAGAGGAAGGUAGAAUUCCCGGUGUAGCGGUGAAAUGCGUAGAGAUCGGGAGGAAUACCAGUGGCGAAGGCGGCCUUCUGGACUGACACUGACGCUGAGGUGCGAAAGCGUGGGUAGCAAACAGGAUUAGAUACCCCUGUAGUC
rnacentral:rRNA from 1 species